GGCCCUUUACGAAUUAGGUGGGGGAGUGGGGCAGGUGAAGAUAUAAAACACCUGGGAACAGUAAGAAAAGGUUUUUUAUUUUAACUGCAGAGAUGAACUACAAGGGUGAACUGUCGAAUAGCCUGCUUGGGACAUCCCAGGUCCAUGAACAGGGGCUGAGAGAAGGGGACGUGUUUGGGAUGCCUGGUUCUUCCUGUGAUUUUCUGGACGAGAGACGGAUUCUAAGAGAGGCGCUGCUCCAAUGCAGAAUUCUCCAUCCCCAGCCUCAAGAAGCUGCAACUGACCUUGUACUAGUGUGAGAUUCCCAUGGAGCGUUCCCUGUGCCCCUUGUUCGGCAUGCAUCCUGGGCACUUGGGCUCUGAUCUUGGCUCUUUCAGAGCUCUGCUGCCAGGGAUUGGGGAACACUGCUGCUGAGAAGUGACCCUUUCUUAUGGUAUGUGAUAAGCACUUGCUAUGUGUCAGGCACAGUACUAAGCACGGGGUAGAUUCAAGUUAAUCAAGUUGGACACAGUCCCUGGUCCCCAUAGGGCUCACAGUCUUAAUCCCCAUUUUACAGAUGAGAGAACUGAGGCACAAAGAAGUGAAGUGACUUGCCCAAGGUCACACAGCAGACAAAUGGCAGAG
rnacentral:lncRNA from 1 species